ensembl:lncRNA
ACGGGAUUUAGUUACAAGCAAACACUUUAUAAUAGGGUGGCAUUGGACCAAAGGGUGUUCGAGGCAGAGCAGGGACUCAAGGAAGAGAUGGAGAGAAAGGUCCAGAUGGGGUGACAGGAUCUCCAGGGGUUCCUGGCCUACAGGGUCCUCGCGGGUACAAAGGUGACACAGCGCCCCCCGGUGAGAAAGGAGAUGAGGUACAGUAUGAGGAUACAUGAUAUUCUGAAAUGCACGACCCUGUAACUGUCUCAUACAGGAUUAUAAUAUACUUAAUAUAGCAUAAAGCAGUUUUUCUGCCUCCAUGAGCAGGGUUUUCCUGGUGCUCCUGGCCUCAGAGGAGACAAAGGACAGACUGGCCUGAAGGGUUCAAAAGGAGAAAUUGGAUUUACUGGCUUUUCUGGUCCUCCAGUGAGUAAAUCACUUCAUAUUCUUGAACUACUAGUUUUAAACAUUAUUACUAGUAACUGGUGUGUCCUUUCUUAUAUUGUAGUAAAUAUUAUGCAUGAAUGGUUUUCUUUUGUUUUCUUUUCUUUUAAGGGACCGGUUGGUUUACAAGGUGUUCAAGGGAUUCCUGGACCACCUGGUCCUAAGGUGAUUGAUUUAACUGACAAUUUAUUUUUGUGUGUUUUAACAUUGAUCUUGACAGUAUAAAGAAUUUUGUUUUCAUAGGGAGAUCCAGGAAAUGAUGGAAAACGUGGUCCUCCAGGGACAGUGGUGAGUCAUAAAUCUUGAGUCAUAAAUCAUGCCACUAUAAAUCGUGACACUUGUGAAAACUUGAAAAAUAUAAAGUUCUUCAAACUGUGUUUCUUCUAAGUAUAACUAACUACUGUAUAUCUAACUAUAAAGUGGAUAUUUAUUUAUAGCCAAAAAGAAAAUCCAUUUGGGAAAACCGAAUUGGGGACAGUGAUAACUUCUUAUUAACAGAGAAAUCACCCUUAACCUGGUGUUUAUGGAUACUGCUUAAUAAUGCUCAGUUAUGUGUUUGUGUCUUGCCAGGGAGCACCAGGUGCUACAGGAUUGGUUGGUGCACAAGGUGUUAAUGGCUCAGAAGUAAGUAAUUGCCUACUACAAAUUUAGUAAGCAAGUGUCAAUUUCAUUGGUUGAAGCAAUAGACUACCCAAAAAUAAAGAUUGUUAUCAUUUGUACA